rnacentral:rRNA from 1 species
GACAGAGGUGCCAAGCGUUAGGCGGAAUCACUGGGCUUAAAGCGUGUGUAGGCGGAUUUGUAAGUACCUUGUGAAAUCCCACGGCUCAACCGUGGAACUGCUCGGUAUACUGCUUAUCUUGAGCCACUUAGGGGCUACCGGAACAAAUGGUGGAGCGGUGAAAUGCGUAGAGAUCGGAAAGAACACCAACGGCGAAAGCACUCCGCUGGGCCGACACUGACACUGAGAGACGAAAGCUAGGGGAGCGAAUGGG